rnacentral:rRNA from 1 species
AACGCGAAGAACCUUACCAGGUCUUGACAUCCCUCUGACCGUCCUAGAGAUAGGGCUUUCCUUCGGGACAGAGGAGACAGGUGGUGCAUGGUUGUCGUCAGCUCGUGUCGUGAGAUGUUGGGUUAAGUCCCGCAACGAGCGCAACCCUUGAUCUUAGUUGCCAGCACUUCGGGUGGGCACUCUAGGAUGACUGCCGGUGACAAACCGGAGGAAGGUGGGGAUGACGUCAAAUCAUCAUGCCCCUUAUGACCUGGGCUACACACGUACUACAAUGGCCGAUACAACGGGAAGCGAAACCGCGAGGUGGAGCCAAUCCUAUCAAAGUCGGUCUCAGUUCGGAUUGCAGGCUGCAACUCGCCUGCAUGAAGUCGGAAUUGCUAGUAAUCGCGGAUCAGCAUGCCGCGGUGAAUACGUUCCCGGGCCUUGUA